CAGCCGCCGCGGUAAUUCGUAGGGUGCGAGCGUUAAUCGGAUUUACUGGGCGUAAAGCGUGCGCAGGCGGCCCGUUAAGACAGGUGUGAAAUCCCUGGGCUCAACCUAGGAAUUGCGCUUGUGACUGGCGGGCUCGAGUACGGUAGAGGGGGGUGGAAUUCCUGGUGUAGCAGUGAAAUGCGUAGAGAUCAGGAGGAACACCGAUGGCGAAGGCAGCCCCCUGGGCCUGUACUGACGCUCAUGCACGAAAGCGUGGGGAGCAAACAGGAUUAGAUACCCUGGUAGUCCACGCCCUAAACGAUGGGUACUAGCCGUUUGGUGCGCGAGAGCGCUGAGUGGCGAAGCUAACGCGUGAAGUACCCCGCCUGGGGAGUACGGCCGCAAGGUUGAAACUUAAAGGAAUUGGCGGG
rnacentral:rRNA from 1 species